AAUCAACGCUGGCGGCGUGCCUAACACAUGCAAGUCGCACGAGAAAGUGGAGCAAUCCAUGAGUACAGUGGCGCACGGGUGAGUAACACGUGAAUGAUCUACCUCCGAGUGGGGAAUAACCUAGAGAAAUCUGGGCUAAUACCGCAUAACACUUACGAGUCAAAGCAGCAAUGCGCUUGGAGAGGAGUUCGCGGCCGAUUAGUUAGUUGGCAGGGUAAUGGCCUACCAAGACGAUGAUCGGUAUCCGGCCUGAGAGGGCGCACGGACACACUGGAACUGAAACACGGUCCAGACUCCUACGGGAGGCAGCAGUGGGGAAUUUUGCGCAAUGGGGGAAACCCUGACGCAGCAACGCCGCGUGGAGGAUGAAAUCCCUUGGGAUGUAAACUCCUUUCGAUGGGGAAGAUU
rnacentral:rRNA from 1 species